rnacentral:rRNA from 1 species
GACGAACGCUGGCGGCAGGCUUAACACAUGCAAGUCGAACGCACCGGCAAGGUGAGUGGCAGACGGGUGAGUAACGCGUGGGAACGUACACUUCGGUUCGGAAUAGCUCCGGGAAACUGGAAUUAAUACCGGGAUACGCCCUUAGGGGGAAAGAUUCAUCGCCGAAGGAUCGGCCCGCGUCAGAUUAGGUAGUUGGUAGGGUAACGGCCUACCAAGCCGAUGAUCUGUAGGUGGUCUGAGAGGANGAUCACCCACACUGGACUGAGACACGGCCCAGACUCCUACGGGAGGCAGCACGUGGGGAAUAUUGGGACAAUGGGCGCAAGGACCUGAUCCAGCCAUGCCG